CCGAUGGUCGUUGAUAGUCGCUGAAGAGAACCAGAGGACAUCACUUGUCAACUUAACUCACAAGAAGGCUGGAGGGACGUCACCUGUCAACUCACCCGUCAGAUAGGUUAAAAAAGUUUUCUUCUUUGCCGUGAUAACGCAGGAUGAACAUCGUAUUAGUGAUGAUGGUGAUGUUGAUGGCAACUGCAUUGGUGGCGGCGCAAAUAAUUACCAGACCGAGAGACUUUCCCGGACAGAGGCGUCUAGGGGUGACCAACUACGGCACUCACAGCUUCGGCAAGAAAGGCUACAACGGCCAACCCGUUGCUAGAAUUAAGGAUUUCCGGUUUGGCUGAGUCCUUUAGGUCCGUGCUCCGUAGCCUGACACGCAGCCUUAGCAGGGCCGGAUUCAGGAGUGGGCAAAGUGGGCAGCUGCCCAGGGGCCUCCACAAUCUGGGGGCCUCUGCAUAU